rnacentral:rRNA from 1 species
AUUGAACGCUGGCGGCAGGCUUAAUACAUGCAAGUCGAACGAUGAUUAUCUAGCUUGCUAGAUAUGAUUAGUGGCGGACGGGUGAGUAACAUUUAGGAAUCUACCUAGUAGUGGGGGAUAGCUCGGGGAAACUCGAAUUAAUACCGCAUACGACCUACGGGUGAAAGGGGGCGCAAGCUCUUGCUAUUAGAUGAGCCUAAAUCAGAUUAGCUAGUUGGUGGGGUAAAGGCCCACCAAGGCGACGAUCUGUAACUGGUCUGAGAGGAUGAUCAGUCACACCGGAACUGAGACACGGUCCGGACUCCUACGGGAGGCAGCAGUGGGGAAUAUUGGACAAUGGGGGCAACCCUGAUCCAGCCAUGCCGCGUGUGUGAAGAAGGCCUUUUGGUUGUAAAGCACUUUAAGCAGGGAGGAGAGGCUAAUGGUUAAUACCCAUUAGAUUAGACGUUACCUGCAGAAUAAGCACCGGCUAACUCUGUGCCAGCCGCCGCCGUAAAAC